rnacentral:rRNA from 1 species
AUGGGUAGGGGAGCGUCGUGUGCCGGGUGAAGCAGCCGCGGAAGCGAGUUGUGGACGGUUCACGAGUGAGAAUGCAGGCAUGAGUAGCGAUACACACGUGAGAAACGUGUGCGCCGAUUGACUAAGGGUUCCUGGGUCAAGCUGAUCUGCCCAGGGUAAGUCGGGACCUAAGGCGAGGCCGACAGGCGUAGUCGAUGGACAACCGGUUGAUAUUCCGGUACCCGCUUUGAAACGCCCAGUACUGAGCCCAUUAAUGCUAAGUCCGUGAAGCCGGCCCGAUCUCUUCGGAGUUGAGGGUAGUGGUGGAGCCGACGAACCAAGGUGGUAGUAGGUAAGCGAUGGGGUGACGCAGGAAGGUAGUCCAGCCCGGGCGGUGGUUGUCCCGGGGUAAGGGUGUAGGACGCACGGUAGGCAAAUCCGUCGUGCAUAUAAGUCUGAGACCUGAUGCCGAGCCGAUUGUGGUGAAGUGGAUGAUCCUAUGCUGUCGAGAAAAGCCUCUAGCGAGUUUCAUGGCGGCCCGUACCCUAAACCGACUCAGGUGGUCAGGUAGAGAAUACCGAGGCGUUCGGGUGAACUAUGGUUAAGGAACUCGGCAAAAUGCCCCCGUAACUUCGGGAGAAGGGGGGCCAUCACUGGUGAUUGGAUUUGCUCCAUGAGCUGGGGGUGGCCGCAGAGACCAGCGAGAAGCGACUGUUUACUAAAAACACAGGUCCGUGCGAAGCCGUAAGGCGAUGUAUACGGACUGACGCCUGCCCGGUGCUGGAACGUUAAGGGGACCGGUUAGCUGACUUUCGGGUUGGCGAAGCUGAGAACUUAAGCGCCAGUAAACGGCGGUGGUAACUAUAACCAUCCUAAGGUAGCGAAAUUCCUUGUCGGGUAAGUUCCGACCUGCACGAAUGGCGUAACGACUUCUCGACUGUCUCAACCAUAGGCCCGGUGAAAUUGCACUACGAGUAAAGAUGCUCGUUUCGCGCAGCAGGACGGAAAGACCCCGGGACCUUUACUACAGUUUGAUAUUGGUGUUCGGUUCGGCUUGUGUAGGAUAGGUGGGAGACUUUGAAGCGGCCACGCCAGUGGUUGUGGAGUCGUCGUUGAAAUACCACUCUGGUCGUGCUGGAUGUCUAACCUGGGUCCGUGAUCCGGAUCAGGGACAGUGUCUGAUGGGUAGUUUAACUGGGGCGGUUGCCUCCUAAAGAGUAACGGAGGCGCCCAAAGGUUCCCUCAGCCUGGUUGGCAAUCAGGUGUUGAGUGUAAGUGCACAAGGGAGCUUGACUGUGAGACCGACGGGUCGAGCAGGGACGAAAGUCGGGACUAGUGAUCCGGCAGUGGCUUGUGGAAGCGCUGUCGCUCAACGGAUAAAAGGUACCCCGGGGAUAACAGGCUGAUCUUCCCCAAGAGUCCAUAUCGACGGGAUGGUUUGGCACCUCGAUGUCGGCUCGUCGCAUCCUGGGGCUGGAGUCGGUCCCAAGGGUUGGGCUGUUCGCCCAUUAAAGCGGUACGCGAGCUGGGUUUAGAACGUCGUGAGACAGUUCGGUCCCUAUCCGCUGUGCGCGUAGGAAUAUUGAGAAGGGCUGUCCCUAGUACGAGAGGACCGGGACGGACGAACCUCUGGUGUGCCAGUUGUUCUGCCAAGGGCAUGGCUGGUUGGCUACGUUCGGAAAGGAUAACCGCUGAAAGCAUCUAAGCGGGAAGCCUGCUUCGAGAUGAGUAUUCCCACCUCCUUUGAGGGGUUAAGGCUCCCAGUAGACGACUGGGUUGAUAGGCCAGAUGUGGAAGCCCGGUAACGGGUGGAGCUGACUGGUACUAAUAGGCCGAGGGCUUGUCCUCAGUUG